rnacentral:rRNA from 1 species
GAUGAACGCUGGCGGCGUGCCUAAUACAUGCAAGUCGAGCGAACAGAUGAGGAGCUUGCUCCUCUGACGUUAGCGGCGGACGGGUGAGUAACACGUGGAUAACCUACCUAUAAGACUGGGAUAACUUCGGGAAACCGGAGCUAAUACCGGAUAAUAUAUUGAACCGCAUGGUUCAAUAGUGAAAGACGGUUUUGCUGUCACUUAUAGAUGGAUCCGCGCCGCAUUAGCUAGUUGGUAAGGUAACGGCUUACCAAGGCGACGAUGCGUAGCCGACCUGAGAGGGUGAUCGGCCACACUGGAACUGAGCCACGGUCCAGACUCCUACGGGAGGCAGCAGUAGGGAAUCUUCCGCAAUGGGCGAAAGCCUGACGGAGCAACGCCGCGUGAGUGAUGAAGGUCUUCGGAUCGUAAAACUCUGUUAUUAGGGAAGAACAAAUGUGUAAGUAACUAUGCACGUCUUGACGGUACCUAAUCAGAAAGCCACGGCUAACUACGUG